rnacentral:tRNA from 1 species
UGGGGCGUAGCUGAGCUGGCAAAGCAUCGGACUGUUAAUCCGAGGAUCGCAGGUUCGAGUCCUGCCGCCCCAG